CCACCUCUGUACCGGAUUUUCCGCCCGCGCGUGCGCAGUAUCCGGCAAGACGGAAUUGAGUUUAAAUGAGCGACAGUUUUUAAUCCCUGCUGUGUCAGUGGCCGUAGAGGAUUGUGAUUUGUACCUGUUGAGAUCCUCCCUCUGUGUGGGGCUGUGUUACAGGGAGCUCGCUGUGGUUUUCUAAGUAUUGAACAGCCUAUUUUCAACAUUCAGGGGUCACUUCCCAAGCCUGAUCUACCUGAGAAGGAAGACCAGAGGAGAAAGAAAGCAAAGAGUCAGAAAUGACUCUUCCCAGGGAUAGCUGAUGUUCCAGGAUGUGACCAUAGAUUUCACUGAAGAGGAGUGGGAAUGCCUGGACCUCGGUCAAAGGGCAUUGUACAGGGAUGUGAUGUUAGAGAACUAUAGGAACUUGGCCACUUUGGGUCUUGUGGGCUCUAAGCUGGACCUUGUCACUUUUCUGGAGCAAAUGAAGGAGCCCAGGAGUAUAAGGAGAAUGAAGACAGUGGCCGUAUACCCAGGUAAGUGUGAAUGGAUGGAGCCGAUGGCUCAGGUGAGAGGUCCAAGUAUCAGUGAGGAGGUCAUUCUUUGUCGUGUGGUUUGGGAAGGUCUGCUUCAUUGGAAAUCAUGGAGAAGUCGGGAUUUAUUUCUGUUGAUGUCAUAGACAGCUGUCACCUGCCCCAUUCUCUCUCUUAAACCAUCAUGAAUUUUUCUGUGUUGAUUACCUUUCUCUUUCACAGUGAGAGCUAAAAUCCUGUUCUUGGAUUGUGACAACUUGCAUGAAUUGGCUGCUGUUUCAUUUCUUGGGAGCCCUGAUAAAACUGUGCACAUUUCUGAGUAACUAUGAUGCUCCUUUUAUUUAUUUAUUUUUUUUGAUGCUGCUUUUAAAGUUUGUUUCUACCUCUAGACAGAAGUGUGUGGUUAUACACAAACUGCAAAGGUUCUAGGAGUACUGGGGACAGAUUUUUGUUUUUAUGAUUUAUAAUUCCUAUAACACUGGAAGCUACAGAUAUAACUUGACAGAUUUUAGACUGAGGUCACUUCUUUGGCGUAUAAAGCAAAACCUCUCUAAAAUGGGCUUCCCUGGUGGCUCAGAGAUAAAGAAUCUGCCUGAAUUGCAGGAGACCUGGCUUUAACCCCUGCACUGGGAAGAUCCCCUGGAGAAGGGAAUGGCAACUCACUCCAGUAUUCUUCCGUGGGAAAUUUCAUGGAGAGAGGAGUCUGGAAGUCUGCAGUCCAUGAGGUCACAAAAAUUUGGAUGUGACUGAGGGACUAACACUUUCACUUUCUUUUCCCUAAAAUGGGACAAUGCAAAUCUCUGGGUUACUUCCAAGUUUCACUUUUCUUUAUAUGAACUCAUGUUAAAUAUCUUAAGUGCAUUUGUCCUAAUUCUUCAAUGCUAAAAUACUUUAAUAUAUUCAAUUAACUCAAAGAGUUUUUAAAUAAAUUCUCAUGAGAUCCUAGAAGAUUCUCCAGCAUAUUUUUAAUUGUUGUUUCUCACUCUGAAGAUUUUUAGAUUAUAUGAAGACAUCUUUUUAAAAAGUUCUCAUUGGACUAUAACUGUUUUACAAUGUUGUCCUGCUGUACAUCAAAGAGAAUCAGUCGUAUGUAUAUAUAGUGACUCUCUUUUAGAUUUCCUUGCAGUUAGGACUCCACACAGCAUUGAUAGACUUCCCUAGGUUCUCACCAUAUUUUUU